GAUGAACGCUGGCGGCGUGCCUAAUACAUGCCAGUCGAGCGAACGGACGAGAAGCUUGCUUCUCUGAUGUUAGCGGCGGACGGGUGAGUAACACGUGAUAACCUACCUAUAAGACUGGGAUAACUUCGGGAAACCGGAGCUAAUACCGGAUAAUAUUUUGAACCGCAUGGUUCAAAAGUGAAAGACGGUCUUGCUGUCACUUAUAGAUGGAUCCGCGCUGCAUUAGCUAGUUGGUAAGGUAACGGCUUACCAAGGCAACGAUGCAUAGCCGACCUGAGAGGGUGAUCGGCCACACUGGAACUGAGACACGGUCCAGACUCCUACGGGAGGCAGCAGUAGGGAAUCUUCCGCAAUGGGCGAAAGCCUGACGGAGCAACGCCGCGUGAGUGAUGAAGGUCUUCGGAUCGUAAAACUCUGUUAUUAGGGAAGAACAUAUGUGUAAGUAACUGUGCACAUCUUGACGGUACCUAAUCAGAAAGCCACGGCUAACUACGUG
rnacentral:rRNA from 1 species